AUUGAACGCUGGCGGCGUGCUUUACACAUGCAAGUCGAACGGUAACAGGCCGCAAGGUGCUGACGAGUGGCGAACGGGUGAGUAAUGCAUCGGAACGUGCCCAGUCGUGGGGGAUAACGCAGCGAAAGCUGCGCUAAUACCGCAUACGAUCUCUGGAUGAAAGCGGGGGACCGAAAGGCCUCGCGCGAUUGGAGUGGCCGAGGUCAGAUUAGGUAGUUGGUGGGGUAAAGGCCCACCAAGCCAACGAUCGGUAGCUGGUCGGAGAGGACGACCAGCCACACUGGGACUGAGACACGGCCCAGACUCCUACGGGAGGCAGCAGUGGGGAAUUUUGGACAAUGGGCGCAAGCCUGAUCCAGCAAUGCCGCGUGCAGGAAGAAGGCCUUCGGGUUGUAAACUGCUUUUGUACGGAACGAAACGGUCCGGGUUAAUACCCUGGGCUAAUGACGGUACCGUAAGAAUAAGCACCGGCUAACUACGUGCCAGCAGCCGCGGUAACAC
rnacentral:rRNA from 1 species